GACGAACGCUGGCGGCGUGCUUAACACAUGCAAGUCGAACGGAAAGGCCCUGCUUUUGUGGGGUGCUCGAGUGGCGAACGGGUGAGUAACACGUGAGUAACCUGCCCUUGACUUUGGGAUAACUUCAGGAAACUGGGGCUAAUACCGGAUAGGAGCUCCUGCUGCAUGGUGGGGGUUGGAAAGUUUCGGCGGUUGGGGAUGGACUCGCGGCUUAUCAGCUUGUUGGUGGGGUAGUGGCUUACCAAGGCUUUGACGGGUAGCCGGCCUGAGAGGGUGACCGGCCAAAAUGGGAAUGAGAUACGGCCCAGACUCCUACGGGAAGCAGCAGUGGGGAAUAUUGCACAAUGGGCGGAAGCCUGAUGCAGCAACGCCGCGUGCGGGAUGACGGCCUUCGGGUUGUAAACCGCUUUCGCCUGUGACGAAGCGUGAGGGACGGUAAUGGGUAAAGAAGCACCGGCUAACUACGUG
rnacentral:rRNA from 1 species